rnacentral:lncRNA from 1 species
AGGAGGACAUUUUUUUAAAAAUGUGGUUGUUUGAUUUUUCUGCUUUUAGUUGUUGACUGGAUAAUGACGCAUGUUCCUAAGCUUUGGGAUGGUGACUACAGGGGAUCCUGCUGCCAACCGUCUUAAGACAAAUAAGCCCUCCUGAUCCUUGGUCCAUCAGACACUGAGCAUCUAAGGCACGAAAGAGUUGCUUCUCUUGUUAGGUGUUGGAUGCCAUCUGUUCAAAUCCAAAUGCUCUUCUUCUCUUCCAUUGAUUGUGCUUAUUUAGUGUGGGGAGAAGAGAAUAACGUAGAAUCUUCCGCUGGCUGCCUUUGGACAAGGCCCAGGAAUGACACCUGGUACCGUUUUUUGAUGUUUCAUUUUUUUUUUUUUUCUGAUGGAGCGGUCUCAUCUGGGGAUUGUAGAUAGAUUGCACAUAUUUACCCAACGUGUGGAAGCUGGGUGAUCAUUUUACAAGAAAAUUCAUUUCACAGUGUCCCCAGAAAGUUCAUAUUUUAAAGGGUUAUUUUAUUCUAAACAAAGAAUGUCCUGCUUUGAUCUUGUGACACUGCCUGUCCUGUGCCUUCCUCAUCUGCUGUUUUACACUUGUCAAUCUUCUGCAUCUGAAAUGCACGUUCCCAGUCACAGUGUGUUGGAAAAGCACAUUUCAGUGAAAUAUUUUGGUGCCUUUCAGUGUUAGGGGUGCCAAGUGAAAUUGCACAUGCUGAGAAUAUUAGAACCUAACAAGGCCAGUCAGAAAAUGAUGUCAGAGGCCUUUGGUGGAAAUUGGGGGGAGGGGGUAUCUUAGGUUGGUUGGUUAGAAUAGUAAUGACUGGAAACCUAGUGUCAGGUGGGUGGGAGGGGGAGGGUCACUAAACAAGACCAGAAGAGACAAAACCUCCACUGUGACGGCAUCUGGAUUGUGCCAAAGAAAUGAACUGUUAAACUUUCCUGUUUCCGUGCCAGUUGUGGAGAAUAGAUUGCAAACCGACCAGCAUAGAACUUGGCCUGAGUCAGAAGUGGGCCAGUUACUAACACCACAAUGGGACAGCUUCACGAACAGUCUGAAAGCCCCACACUUCCCACCAAACCUUCAUAGAAAAGUAAACCUAGAGAAACCUACCAACAUUGUGAACAUUCCUAAGUGUCUGCCCUGUUAACUUUGAUGCUCAUUUGGUUAUUACUAGUGCAAACCCCCAUGUUUAUUUAGUAUUGCUUUUAAAGAGAAAGUAGUGAAAAUGUAAAUGUUUUCCAUCUUUACCUGGCUGGUCAAAAAUGAUCUUGUAAAAGUUAUUACUCAAAAGUAUAAAAAAAAAUGUUUUGGUAGCAGGUGUCUUUUCUGUUGAGUGCUUUGUGACUGCAAAGGCUGGAAGUUUUUCUGUACUGUCUUAUGAGUGCUUGAGCAUUAGAAUUUUAUAAUAUAAAAAGCAGAGUUCUUAAAUAAACUUGAUAUGACCAGAAGGGUAUGAGUUAGGAAAGUUUUGCUGUCAUGCUUCCUUCUGUUGUUCAGGAUAGAUUUGGUCAAGGAGUUUGUAUGGUUCUCAUGACAGGGAAAAGAAAGGUGUUUUGAAAGACAAGAAUAGAGGGAAAGAGGUAAAAUUAUUUUUUGUUGAAUUUAUCAUUUUUUUUUUUUAAUGCUAGUUUCUCUGUCAGACUAUGAAGACAUAGUUUUGUACUAGGUCAAUCGGAUGCCUAGAAGUAAUCAUGGUGUCACUAGUGUAACCUAAGAAAUUAGUGUGAAGGGAAUCUGGGGCUAGGGAGCACCUCAGUGUAAACAGAGGGGCUUUGAAAAUUAUUAUAAAAUUAGGAAGCUUUUCAUGCCCCCUCGGGAAAAUGGAAACUCAUUUUGCCAUUUAUUUAGACACAUCACUGGAGGGGAAGAUGGUGGGGGAAAUAACUACAACAAAAAAAAUUGUCACCCGAAUUAAUAACCACAUUUCACAAUUCAGAUUUUUCACCUGAGAGUCUGAGAGGAGGGAAGAAGUAUUGUGUGUGUCUGGAAAGUGGCUAAGGUCUUGUCAAUGGAGCACUGUAUUCUUGGUAACAAACCUCCUUGAAAAGAAGGAACGUUAAGCAUUCUAUUGAUAUUUUUCAGUGCACCUCUGUUGGAAAAACAGGACUCUUAAGUAAUUGCUUUAUUAAACUAUUUGGGUUUAUGUCUUUAACCACUUAAAUAGGAAGCUUGGUCACCUAAGCAAUUUAGUGAAGUAAAAGACAAAUAAAUUACAAACAGCUCCCCCUCUCCCAAGGCUUGAAACAAUAAAAUGUUUUUGCUAAACGAUUUUAUUAACUUACUGAGUUCAGCCCUUUCAGAUUGCUUAUGUAGAAUGUUUAAAUGCCAGUAUUUGGUUUCUCAGGUGAAACAGAGAAUUGCAGAAUUGUUUCUUCUACUUUCAAGCUCUAAGAGGUUGUAUUUUUAGGUGGUUAUAAAAGUUACUUUUUAAAACGGUUUGUGUAAAGCAGCUCCCACCUCAUCUCUUCCUGGUUAAUAAUACUUUGUUCUUCGCUAAUGAAAAAAAUUUUCUUUUCUUUGUUAUUUAACUUUUUGAUUUAGUAGCUAAUUUAUGAAUUUGUCUUUGGAGAGCUCCUAACAGUACAAGACUGAAUUCUUUGCAGUUACUCAGUAGAAUAUGUCUUGAGUCAUAAUGAGAGGGCUGAAAAAUUACCUUUAGCCCAGAGAACUUUAAAUUAUGAGAAUCUGCACAAAAGUCUAUCUCUGGUGAAUAUUUAACUUUCAAAUCUAGUGGAAGAAUUGUGUUUAUUACAGUUAAAUUUUCCAUUUCUUUUUAUCUUCGUUUAUGAGCAGUCUCAUAUUUUCAUCUGACAACUUAUACUUUAAUUAUAUUUUGGCUCAUUUUGGGGCUCUAGUAAUAAAUAUUUGUUUCUUAAGUACUUUUUCGUAAAAUACAACUAAAUGGUCUGGGUGCAAUUUUGAAAAGCAUGUCUUGCAAAGUAAUGCCUGUUUGGCCAUAAGCAUCCAGCUUUUAUAAGAAUGAUAUUUGAAUUUGUAGGUUAAAAAAAAUACACAUUUCUUACUGAAAAACUAAUUUUAGACUAAUUAGCAAGUGGCUUUGAACGAGUGAGGACUUAAAUUUAUGUAAAAAUUAUUCACAUUCUUUUGCAAUAUUGGUGGAAACUUAGUCGCCUUCAAAUAACCUUUUAAACAUUUAGUAAUUAACAGUUCCAUAAUUAGCUUUGCAUAUCUUGGCUGAGGUUCAAAAUGAAUGUUUCCAACUGCAGCGCUGUGUGGAGCCUGAACACUAAACACACACACACACACAACACACACCCACCCACCCACCCACCCCAAAACCUGGGUUUACAGAACACUAAACACACACACACACACACACACCCCCCCCCCCCAAAACCUGGGUUUACAGAACACUAAACACACACACACACACACACCCACCCACCCACCCCAAAACCAAAAAUUAAAAAAAAAAGAACUUCCUGAUUGUGAACUUGUUGCAGUUUUUUUCCCCUCUCCAGAAAGGACAAAAAUACAAACAAAAGCAGCUAUAGUCUCCUGUCAUUAUCAUUUUAUUUACUGUGUUUUACUACUUAAUAAGGGAGGGAUACAGUAUUACUCCAAAGCCCUGUUCUUGAAAUCAGAAAUUUCUUUGCUUCAUCAGAAAACUCACUAUGCUUCU